UACGGGAGGCAGCAGUGGGGAAUUUUCCGCAAUGGGCGAAAGCCUGACGGAGCAACGCCGCGUGAGGGAUGAAGGCCUCUGGGCUGUAAACCUCUUUUCUCAAGGAAGAAAAAAAUGACGGUACUUGAGGAAUAAGCAUCGGCUAACUCCGUGCCAGCAGCCGCGGUAAUACGGAGGAUGCAAGCGUUAUCCGGAAUCAUUGGGCGUAAAGCGUCCGCAGGUGGUAAUGUAAGUUCUUAGUUAAAGACAGAAGCUCAACUUCUGAAAGGCUAAGAAAACUGCAUAACUAGAGGCAGGUAGGGGUAGCAGGAAUUCCCAGUGUAGCGGUGAAAUGCGUAGAGAUUGGGAAGAACAUCGGUGGCGAAAGCGUGCUACUGGGCUGAGCCUGACACUGAGGGACGAAAGCUAGGGGAGCGAAAGGGAUUAGAUACCCCUGUAGUCCUAGCCGUAAACGAUGGAAACUAGGCGUAGCUUGUAUCGACCCAAGCUGUGCCGAAGCCAACGCGUUAAGUUUCCCGCCUGGGGAGUACGCACGCAAAUGUGAAACUCAAAGGAAUUGACGGGGA
rnacentral:rRNA from 1 species